CCUGAUGAUCAGACUCAGAAAAUUUUGGAAAGAGAAGAUGCUCGGCUGAUGUCAUGGCUCCGAUCUUCAUCUUGAAGAAGAGUGACAUUGGGUGACUGCUGCUUGGAAAACUGUCCACACUUGCUACUCUUUGAGAAUGAAGUUGUCAUUCAGGGCCCCUCAUGUAGCCAAAAGACCAAGAAAAAUCUGGCCCACAGAUAAGUUGCAGACUGCCUUUAAAAUAGAUUUUAUCAGUGGAGAAAUGGUGAUAGUUUUUUCUUCAGUUUUCUCUUGGGAAGAGUUUUAUGUUGUUUAAAAGAUAUUUUGAUAACUUAACCUGCUUUAUGGGCUUACAUAAUAUUCCUUUCAUCCAUUCUUUUUAAAGAACGGCUUACCUUUCCUAUUUAUUUUUAGGGUGAUUUUUUAAAAAGACUUGUGCAAUACAUUUUGAGGUGAAACUUAGUGGAUUUUUUCUGAUAAAUUAGAGCAUUUAAUUGACUAUUUUAUUCAGGUUGAUCUGUUGAAUAUUUGCUAAAGACCAGUUCUUUAAGCUAAGACAUGUAAAAAAUCCCAAAUGGCAGUACCUCAUUGUUUACUUAGCUUUUGUACUUAUAUUUUUCAGAGGAAAAAACACUACUGUAAAUUGUGAAUAGCCAAUACAUAACUGUAUUGUAUGCAAAUCUGUGAUUGUUGGCAGUGUCAUCUCUGAGAAACAGAUAAAUAAAGUUUAUUUACUAUAU
rnacentral:lncRNA from 1 species